AAUAGAGGAGCGGAUGAGCAUCAGUACUUUCGUCUUAUGGAGAGCGGUUUUCUCCGACGUAAGAAAAGGGCAUCUCCGCCGAGGCACGGCCAGCAAACCGCACUGUCGUCGCCGGGCGCGCGGGAGAAUACCCGCCCGACUGUCACCGCGAGUGGAGAACUAUUU
rnacentral:ncRNA from 1 species